rnacentral:rRNA from 1 species
UACGUAGGGUGCGAGCGUUAAUCGGAAUUACUGGGCGUAAAGCGUGCGCAGGCGGUUGUGCAAGACAGAGGUGAAAUCCCCGGGCUUAACCUGGGAAUGGCCUUUGUGACUGCACGGCUAGAGUGUGUCAGAGGGGGGGUAGAAUUCCACGUGUAGCAGUGAAAUGCGGAGAGAUGUGGAGGAAUACCGAUGGCGAAGGCAGCCCCCCUGGGAUAACACUGACGCUCAGGCACGAAAGCGUGGGGGAGCAAACAGG